UGGGGAAUAUUGGACAAUGGGCGCAAGCCUGAUCCAGCCAUGCCGCGUGUGUGAAGAAGGCCUUAGGGUUGUAAAGCACUUUCAGUGGGGAGGAAGGGUGUUGUGUUAAUAGCACGGCAUUUUGACGUUACCCACAGAAGAAGCACCGGCUAACUCCGUGCCAGCAGCCGCGGUAAUACGGAGGGUGCAAGCGUUAAUCGGAAUUACUGGGCGUAAAGCGCACGCAGGCGGCUUUUUAAGUCGGAUGUGAAAAGCCCCGGGCUCAACCUGGGAAUUGCAUCUGAUACUGGGAAGCUAGAGUAUGUGAGAGGGGGGUAGAAUUCCAAGUGUAGCGGUGAAAUGCGUAGAGAUUUGGAGGAAUACCAGUGGCGAAGGCGGCCCCCUGGCACAAUACUGACGCUCAGGUGCGAAAGCGUGGGGAGCAAAACAGGAUUAGAUACCCUGGUAGUCCACGCCGUAAAACGAUGUCUACUAGAUGUUCGUGGUCUUGUACCGUGAGUAUCGCAGCUAACGCAUUAAGUAGACCGCCUGGGGAGUACGGUCGCAAGAUUAAAAACUCAAAUGAAUUGACGGGGUCAUAGCUGUUUCCU
rnacentral:rRNA from 1 species